GCAACAGAGAUUCACCUUCUGCCCCGAUCAUUAGCAUGGGAUAUGGAAUAGGACCCUGUCCUCCUAUUUUCCAGUUGGUUUUCGAAGGAACCAGGGUAAUGAUUAAAUAAGGGGAUUAGUUGGGGGGCAUUAAAUAUUUAAAUUUGUCAGAAAGGUGAAUUUCUUUGGGAAUUUAUUGAAAGAAUUUAACCUUCUGCGAAAAACAUCCUGGCCAAGGGAUGUUUUUCUUUUAAUCCAAGAAACGAAAAGUUUAGGGGGAUCCAAAACCAUCAAAUACCCCCCUAAUCUUAACCAACCCAUGCCGACCACGAUUUAAGAGAACCUUUAAACAAACCCCCCUCCGGGCCGUCCCUCCUUGGGCUGGGAGGGUUCCCCCCCCCAGGGGGCAACAGGGAUGGCCGAAGCCCAC
rnacentral:rRNA from 1 species